UCUACGUACCAGGCCUGCACAACUUUGGCUUAGUUGUACCUUCUUCGUUAGUUUCUCCGACGAGAAGAACUCUUGCUCCCCUCCGAUACCUCCACGGAAGGGCUCUAAUUCUGUAUCCCUGGUCUAGCUCCUCCUCUAGAUCAAAUACAGUUAUCCUGUUCGCGACUGCGGUGCAAUUUAAUGAACUAUAGGCUACAAACCUCUGGACAAAUCAACAUUUUCACGGUUGAGUCCUGUAUAAACUGCCUACCUGAAAUAUAUACAAAGAUUAAAUCAGUGCAAAUUGAGGUGAGCCGAAGAGAAAAGAGUUCUACGCUCAACUCUUUAUGUUUGUAGUUAUUACCUGGUUCCUAAAGGUAAAAUUGAGCAUAGAUUUAAGACGCGGCACAAAUUCAUUAAAUUCGUACUCAGUCCCGUUAAAACUUUGAAAAAUCUCU